CAGCGUCACGAGUGGCAAUCGUAUUUAUUGGGUCUAAAGCGUCCGUAGCCGGUUUGAUAAGUCUUUCGUGAAAUCGUUGUGCUUAACGCAACGCUAUGCGAGAGAGACUGUCAGACGUGGAAUUGGGAUGAGUCAGAGGUAUUCUGGGGGGAGCGGUAAAAUGCUAUAAUCCUCAGAGGACCACCAGUGGCGAAAGCGUCUGACUAGAACAAAUUCGACGGUGAGGGACGAAAGCCAGGGGAGCAAAACGGAUUAGAUACCCGAGUAGUCC
rnacentral:rRNA from 1 species